rnacentral:lncRNA from 1 species
CUGAAACUUUUCAUUUCACAGGUGACCCAUUUUCACCAGCCUUUUUUCACCUUUCAAGCCAGGGGAUUCUUUCACUCUCUUCUCCCUCGGCCUUGGCCGUUUCCCUCGUUAGGAUGGAACGAUACAAGGAGAGGCUGAGAUCUAUUUCCAUAUUUUGUCCAAAACCACAGCAUUUGGAUUGGAGGCAGAAUCAUCAAGCUUUAUGAAGGAAUUGCUCAGCGCCGCAGGGAGGGGAGACCGAGGCUAUGCGAGGACCAAGGAUGGACUCUGCUGUUUUGACUGAAGUGACGAGUCCAGUAACUGAUUUGUA